ACGCAGUUGAAAUGAGUGUAGCAGAAAACUGGAAGGGGAGCAAGCAGCUGUGCCGGCCAAACCCUUGGAGAGGAGUGCAGGAGAAACGAGCUCGGGUCUCUGUCCAGCGCCCAGGAGACGCACAGAGCAAUGGCCUUGUGACAGUGGCAGCCGUGACACAGAGAGAGCAAGCAAGUGAGAAAAAGUGAGUGGGUUCAUAAAACAGUAUUUUAGGUCAGGGGAACAUAGCACAGGAG
rnacentral:lncRNA from 1 species